GCGCGAUUAGCUCAGAUGGUAGAGCAGCUGACUCUUAAUCAGAAGGUCCGGGGUUCGAGCCCCCGAUCGCGCA
rnacentral:tRNA from 1 species